CGCGUGGUCCGGCGUUGAUGGGUUACCUGUAUCUAUGUUAUAGAUCUCUUCCUGCUCGCAGGUCGAGAACAAUUUUAUGAAUUUCAAAAAAAAAAACCAAAAAAAAUCAUAAAAUUCAAAAAUACCAAAAACAUUAAUUAUAUUCCCAUCAACGCCCACUUGACUGC
rnacentral:sRNA from 1 species